CUUUGCUUCUUCCUGCUGAAGAGGUUUACAACCCGAAGGCCGUCAUCCCUCACGCGGCGUCGCUGCAUCAGGCUUUCGCCCAUUGUGCAAUAUUCCCCACUGCUGCCUCCCGUAGGAGUCUGGGCCGUGUCUCAGUCCCAGUGUGGCCGGUCGCCCUCUCAGGCCGGCUACCCGUCGUCGCCUUGGUAGGCCAUCACCCCACCAACAAGCUGAUAGGCCGCGGGCUCAUCCUUCACCGCCGGAGCUUUUAACCCCGUCCCAUGCGGGACAGAGUGUUAUCCGGUAUUAGACCCCGUUUCCAGGGCUUGUCCCAGAGUGAAGGGCAGAUUGCCCACGUGUUACUCACCCGUUCGCCACUAAUCCACCCCGAANGGCUUCAUCGUUCGACUUGCAUGUGUUAAGCACGCCGCCAGCGUUCGUCCUGAGCCAG
rnacentral:rRNA from 1 species